UCAGGCCUAACACAUGCAAGUCGAACGGGUCCUUCGGGACUAGUGGCGGACGGGUGAGUAACGCGUGGGAACGUGCCCCUUGGUACGGAAUAGCCCUGGGAAACUGGGAGUAAUACCGUAUGUGGUCGAGAGACGAAAGAUUUAUCGCCAAGGGAUCGGCCCGCGUUGGAUUAGGUAGUUGGUGGGGUAAUGGCCUACCAAGCCGACGAUCCAUAGCUGGUUUGAGAGGAUGAUCAGCCACACUGGGACUGAGACACGGCCCAGACUCCUACGGGAGGCAGCAGUGGGGAA
rnacentral:rRNA from 1 species